rnacentral:rRNA from 1 species
GGACGAACGCUGGCGGCGUGCCUAACACAUGCAAGUGGAGCGACGAACCGGGACUUCGGUCCGGGGCAAAGCCGCGAACGGGUGAGUAACACGUGGGUAACCUGCCCCGAUGAUUGGGGACAAACCCGAGGAAACUCGGGCUAAUACCGAAUGUGCCCUACGGUCGCAAGACCGCUGGGGAAAGGAAGCUUCGGCCUCCGCAUCGGGGAUGGGCCCGCGGCCCAUUAGCUUGUUGGUGAGGUAAAGGCUCACCAAGGCCACGAUGGGUAGCUGGUCUGAGAGGACGAUCAGCCACACUGGGACUGAGACACGGCCCAGACUCCUACGGGAGGCAGCAGUGGGGAAUCUUGCGCAAUGCGCGAAAGCGUGACGCAGCAACGCCGCGUGGGGAAGACGGCCUCGGUUGUAACCCG